UAACGGCCCACCGAGCCGACGAUGCGUAGGGGUUCUGAGAGGAAGGUCCCCCACACUGGUACUGAGACACGGACCAGACUCCUACGGGAGGCAGCAGUGAGGAAUAUUGGUCAAUGGGCGCGAGCCUGAACCAGCCAAGUCGCGUGAGGGAUGACGGUCCUACGGAUUGUAAACCUCUUUUGCCGGGGAGCAAGCGUGCGUUCGUGAACGCGCGUCGAGAGUACCCGGAGAAAAAGCAUCGGCUAACUCCGUGCCAGCAGCCGCGGUAAUACGGAGGAUGCGAGCGUUAUCCGGAUUUAUUGGGUUUAAAGGGUGCGUAGGCGGGAUGCCAAGUCAGCGGUAAAAAUGCGGUGCUCAACGCCGUCGAGCCGUUGAAACUGGCGUUCUUGAGUGGGCGAGAAGUAUGCGGAAUGCGUGGCGUAGCGGUGAAAUGCAUAGAUAUCACGCAGAACUCCGAUUGCGAAGGCAGCAUACCGGCGCCCUACUGACGCUGAGGCACGAAAGCGUGGGUAUCGAACAGGAUUAGAUACCCUGGUAGUCCACGCAGUAAACGAUGAAUGCU
rnacentral:rRNA from 1 species